UGGGUCAUCAGAUGCAGUGGACUCCUCUUGUUUCUGUUUCUCUUCCUCUGAACUCACCUGUCACUACAGACAUUGCUGCAGCCAGCUCCUCUGGUCACCUCAUGUGUUGCUUGUCUGAUAUGUCUCCUGUGUCAUCUGGAUACAACCGUUUAAACAGCAUUUUAAUGAGAAAAAUCGCCUAUGGCUGACCUGGAACUGCCUCAAAUGAAUUCGUAGCUGAUAAGAUGCUUGCUUGAAAUGUUCUUUGAAGGACAAAUCCAUUAUUCGUUGCCACUUAUUUCAAGGUUCUUGGAGAAAUUAGCUUAAUUAUUCCUUGCCAAAAUAAAGCAAAUGUUCCUUUUUUGAGAAAGAAGGGGAAGUGCUAUUAUUCACUGGGUUUGAGCAAUUCUUUCAUAAAUCAGCAUACUGAAGUUGGUGGAUUAGACCAUUAGACACCUUUCUCUGAAAGAUAGAUUACAAUAUAUUAAUUCUUCUUCCUCAAUGUAGAGGCAGAAGAAAAAUAUGAGUUUCCUUAAAGGCCGUGUCAAAAUAUUGAGAUAAAAUGUAGAAAUCUCAGUCAUUCAGAGAUGUCCUAAACAUGUCUAAUAUCUCUGUGGCCUCCUAUCUCCUUUCAAAUUGAUGCAGGGUAUAGAUUUUUCCAACUGCAUCCUGAAAUACCAUAUCCGUUAGCAGCCAAGGAAGGAUUAGCAUAACUCAGAAGCACUCAUUUAAAAGAAAAUCAAAAGAAAAAUAAGAAAGAAGAAGAAAGGACAGGGAAAAAUCGGCCAUCCAAAAAUUAAAUCCCUGCACCACUAUUACUAUCUUCUCCAUACAAUUUCUGGGUUCUUUCUCUUAUAGUAACUUAAUGGUCCUCUGUGCUGUUGCUCAGCUCCUCCAGUGGGAAUGUUCCAUCCUCUCAGAGCACAAAUCCUACCAUCUAGCCGAUUCUAGACGUUUUCAUGACAGCCUGUUUACCACCCCAUAAUCGCAAAGAUGACCUGGUGCUUGACUGUGCUCCUUUUUAUUAUCUGAAACCCCAGAAAAAGUGGUCUAAAGAAGCCAGCCAGGGCUACACAAACCAAGGCUGGAACUUAGCAAAACCUGGCGUUUUCCAACCAAAAGAAUUCUAUUUGAACUCUGUGUGUGUAGUAGAGGAUACAGGAAAAAGAAAGGUCCUAUUCAGUGAUAAUCUCAGGAAAUUCAUGCAAUGAUCAGCAAUCAGAGGAAAGGAACAGGCCACAAAACUGUAAGCAAAGUUUCAUGGUUCAAUAUUAGUCCACGGAAGACAAUGAGCAGGAAUAGUAAGAGAGAAAGCUGAUUGCAGGCUUUUCAGGUUUUAAGUCUCCAAGUCUCUUGGUAUGCCUGAGCUUGUUAGAAAUAGAAGGCAGGAAGUUCUCGUACCAUGAUUUUCAGCUCCAUCAGGUCAUUUAACGUCUUCUCUACCAUCAGA
ensembl:lncRNA